rnacentral:rRNA from 1 species
AUGUGUGCAGCAAAGAGUGUUGGUGGUCUUGGGUUCCGCGAUACCGAGGCGUUCAAUCAAGCUUUGUUAGCAAAGCAAGCCUGGAGAAUUCUGCAAGUACCAGCCUCUCUUUGUGCUAGGGUUCUUAAAGCACGCUAUUUUAAAGAAGAGGCAAUCUUGUCGGCCACCUGCCCAUCAAAUGCGUCUUACACCUACAGGAGUGUGCUACAUGGC